ACCCGCUGAACUUAAGCAUAUCAAUAAGCGGAGGAAAAGAAACCAACAGGGAUUGCCCUAGUAACGGCGAGUGAAGCGGCAACAGCUCAAAUUUGAAAUCUGGCGUCUUUGGCGUCCGAGUUGUAAUUUGCAGAGGGCGCUUUGGCAUUGGCAGCGGUCCAAGUUCCUUGGAACAGGACGUCACAGAGGGUGAGAAUCCCGUACGUGGUCGCUAGCCUUUACCGUGUAAAGCCCCUUCGACGAGUCGAGUUGUUUGGGAAUGCAGCUCUAAAUGGGAGGUAAAUUUCUUCUAAAGCUAAAUACUGGCCAGAGACCGAUAGCGCACAAGUAGAGUGAUCGAAAGAUGAAAAGCACUUUGGAAAGAGAGUUAAAAAGCACGUGAAAUUGUUGAAAGGGAAGCGCUUGCAGCCAGACUUGCCUGUAGUUGCUCAUCCGGGUUUUUACCCGGUGCACUCUUCUAUAGGCAGGCCAGCAUCAGUUUGGGCGGUUGGAUAAAGGUCUCUGUCAUGUACCUCUCUUCGGGGAGAACUUAUAGGGGAGACGACAUGCAACCAGCCCGGACUGAGGUCCGCGCAUCUGUUAGGAUGCUGGCGUAAUGGCUGU
rnacentral:rRNA from 1 species